AAACUAUCCAACUGGAAAAGUUGGUCCUAAAUUGCAGUUUAUUGAGCUGCUCACAGCUGGGCCGGCAGAGCCCUGAUGACUCAUGAUAACCUGCUGGAGUGAAGCAGCCGCGCUCAGCGCAGCAGGACGAAUGGGGGUUUUACAUAAUUUGCAUUUCCGCUGCUGCUGCAACUUCUGCAGGUUACGUGACACCGGGCAGGACAGGCGUUACACAAGGACUGCAGCUCUGCUUUCGCCCACGGACAGGUAGAGGCUGUUGACCCACGAGCUGCUGAAACACCAACACAAGACUGUUCACACUGGACAGGGUCGAACGUAGCAACGCAAAGAAGGAGGAACGUAAAGAGGCUUUAAAAAGUGAAGGGAAAGUUAUGGAUGUUCAGAAGAAUGCAGGAACCGCUUCACCGAUAUAAACCGUAAGAAUUACCUGAAGCUCAUGUCAGAUUGGAUGGAAACUGCAAUUUUCUAUUAGAUAAAGGUUUGGACUUUGACUGGGCCAUUCUAACACAUGAACAUCUUUUAAUCUAAACCAGCUCUGGCUGCAUGUUUUGGUCUUGAAUCGUCUGCAGCUUCUUGGUUCUAUGUUUCCAUCAAAUCAGGCCAGCUUCUCUGUUCCUGCUGGAGAAACGAACCCCCAGAGCAUGACGCUACCACUACCAUGUCUUAAACCUGGGGACGGUUUGUUCAGGUUUCUUUACAUCACAUCCUUUUCCUGCAGCAGUCAGUGUAAAGAGGUGGGCAGCCGGAUCCACAAAAUGCCCGAGUGUUUUGACUGAAAGGCCGUCAAUGUUUUUAAAGAAGUCCUUCCUGAAUUCCUGAAUUUGUUGAGACGGUUUUCAGACAUCCUGUAAGUCUGAUGACAUCAUGUUGGCGCAAACCUUUUACUUUUUUCAGCGUUUAAGUAUCAGACAACAAUAGAAAAAGAAAGCAACGGCUGCUGAACAAUAGAUUGUUUAAAUUUAGCGAUCUGUAAUGAGCUAAAACGUAAUAUUUUAGUUAGUGUUAAUAAACAUUAGCUUCCUCAUUUGUUAAUAAUGUAACGUCCCAUAUUUACAGUAAAACACAGUGCUGCCUUUGCUGUGCUGAUCUGCUCAUGUUUCCCUGCACCAGCAUUAGCAUUAGCACCAGCGUUAGCAUUAUCAUUAGCAUUAGCAUUAUCAAUAUCAUUAGCAUUAGGUUUUGUAUUGUUUUUCUGCUGCAACAGAGGAGGAAAGUAGAUGCAUCUGGGCUGUUUUGGAGAAACGCCAAGUUUUCUUCUGUUUCUUCUAAAAUGGAUUACCACACACACACACACCCGCACACGCACACACACGCACCCCCAAACUAUUAACAACAAAACCACACACUAAGCAGUGUUUGAUGUAUUGGUUUAUCAACAAUGAUUUCAUCCUGUUUCUCUGGCUUUUUCUCCAAUUUGCUGAGCUACCACUAUUUAAAUGUGAGUCUAUAUAGAAGAAUGAUUAAGAGAAAUUAAAUUGAGAAAAAGUUUGUUUUAUAAGAUUAAUCGGCUUAAUCGAGAUUAAUCAACUAAUUUAGUAAUCGAUUAAUCACUAGCUAGAAUGUUCAGACUCAGAAAAAAAAACUAAUUUCUAAAAAAUCAACAUAUUCAGAGCAGUAAUUGAGCCAAAACUGUAAAGAAUAUAUAAAUAAUAAAAAUGCAUCUGUGAAUACGUGACAACCGAAUAUUCUCAUAGUUUUAGCUUCAUCUGAUUCAAAUUCUGUAAAAAGCUAUUAAUUAUGCUUAGCUUUCCAAUUAUUAAUCAGUUAAUCCAAAAACUAAUCAACACACCGGCUGGUGUGUUGAUUAGUUGGUUGAUUAGUUAGUUGAUUAGUUAGUGGGUCUGAGAUUUUUGCGCUGCAGAUGCAUCUUUUGCUACGAAUGAUCUAAUGUUCACUAAGAAGAUGUUACGUUUUAGGUAAUAAUAAGUUUAUUUUCUUGUUUACAAAAUGAAUUGAAGUAUUUAUUUGCAUAUUUUAAAGUAUUUCUGAUAUUGUAGAAAAGGUUUAGAUGACAAAUCUACAAAACAUGCCAAUUUACCCCUGAUUAAUCGAUUGAUGAUCAAUAAUUAUUCUGUCUAUUAUAGAAUAAUAGAUAAUGGAUCUAGCUAUUAUUCUAUAAUAGAUAGAAUAAUUGCUCAUUGCAGGACUGAAGAGCCCACCAAAGCAUAUUUAUAUGCUUGAAUGGCGUAGUCAAAGUUCAAAAUCCAGCUGAGAAUCUGUGGAAUGAUUUGGAAAUGAUAAAGGAAUACUGCUACUAAGUUUUAGGCAAUAAAAUGUUUAUUUUCUCAUUUAAAAAAGGAAUUUAUCCUUUCUUUGCAUCUUUUAAUGUGUUUUUAACGUUGUAUAAAAAACGUUAUACAACGUGGUGAAAUAAAUAAUCUGCACAAUGUGGCAAUUUUCUUACAUGAUUAAUUAAUAAAUCAGCAGCAUAAUCGAUCGAAUAAUCAAUUACUGGAAUAAUUGUUAGUUGCAGCCCUAAAAAGCACAGCAUCACAUAUUUAUAUGCUUGAAUGGUGUAGUCAAAGUUCAGACAUAAAUCCAACUGAGAAUCUGUGGAACGACUUUGAAAUUAUCACUAAAAAAUGCUGUUAUGAGAUUUUAGGUAAUAAAAUCUUUACUUUCUUACUUAAAAGAUGAAUUAUUUGUUUAUUUGCACAUUUUAAUGUAUUUUUAAA